rnacentral:rRNA from 1 species
UCCUACGGGAGGCAGCAGUAGGGAAUCUUCCAUAAUGGACGCAAGUCUGAUGGAGCAAUGCCGCGUGAGUGAAGAAGGGUUUCGGCUCGUAAAACUCUGUUGUUGAAGAAGAACGGGUGUCAGAGUAACUGUUGACAUCGUGACGGUAUUCAACCAGAAAGCCACGGCUAACUACGUGCCAGCAGCCGCGGUAAUA